AGAAGAAGAAGAAGAAGAAGAAGCAGCAGCAGCAGCAGCAGCAGCAGCAGCAGCAGCAGCAGAAGGGGGAGGGGGAGGGGGAGGGGGAGGGGGAGGGAAAAUGGAGAAGUUUAAGUAAAUUUUGUGCUCCUUGCCUGAAUGUGGUGUGCUGGACCUGAGUUUUGGUUCAUGGUUUAGAAAAAUAUUUUGAUCUUUUAUUCAUGAUGUUUCUUUCUUCCCAUCCUUCCUUCUUUAAUUCUACUCACUCUGUUUAUGGUGAUGAAGCCUAUUUGGAAGUCUGGCCUCAUCUUGAUUGGUGCUGCCUGUUGUAUAGCCAAAAACUUCCCAUGGUUGGCUGAAUGGAGUAGUUAACUAUUAAACUGAUGGUUUGGCCUCUCAUUGGUCUGUCUAGGACUCUGGACGAGAAUUUCUCAUGAGUGAGUCAGCUUUUGAUCAAAAUAUACAUAGAAUCAUGCCAACAUUUAUCCUAGUGAAGAAAACAUCUCGACUUUUGGAGGUCAAAAUGCUCUAAGGGGAAAAAAAAAAAAAAACUACAUCUCUAAGAGGGUUAAAGGGUAACCAAGGACUAAUCCCCUCCAUCUCAAUUUCAUUUAAUUUUAGAUGUAUGAGAUUCUAAGAUGUAUGUGUGUCAAGAUGCUCAGAGAGAUCUAACUUCAAUAAUUUUUUAGAAUGUUUUGCAUGGGAAUCAGUGACAGGUAUAGAAAGAAAUGCUAGAUCGUCAAUUUUAUUAAUGUCAUGGCCUUAAUCAUCUCCUUCCUGUGUCUCCACAUCUCCUACUCUGCCCUUUCUCUUUCCCAAAGUACUUGCACAUAUACAUAACAUACCACCCACACAUACACAUAAAACGUUCUCUCUAUAGCAGAAUCCUAGACAGAUAAAUGAAGCUCCCUUCCAGGCUGUUACAUCUAAGCACAGAUAUAAUUUCACUUUAGUACAAGAUACUGACUUUUAAAUUAGUUCAAAUUGUUGAGCAACACUGUGAAAAGAUAUCAGGGGUCAGAAAGGCAGCACUGGUGGUGGAGGGGAAAGAUGCUUUUUCUCCUUGGCUCAUAAUUGGUGUUUUAGGUGCAUAAAGAUGGUAGUGGCAGAUCUGUGUCAGAGACAGUAAAUUAUUAGUGUAAAUGUUUUCCAGUCUCCAGAGAGAGCUUCUGUCUUCCCUGGAAGAGACGUGCAUGGUCAGGCUUCUCUACCCGAGACCUUCCAGGACUUUCAUCCCAUUUUACAACACAGAACAGAGGAUUGUCAACCACCAGUUCCCAAGGGUUCAGUCAUUGAGCAAAAUUAUCUUAGGGAAUAAUUGUUAUGGCUUCUGUCACUAAUGGUGUUUUCUGCAGAUCCUGUUCUGCAUAGCACUUCCUUUAUUUAAAUGAGAGUGAAAGAUGGGAGAUCAUUAGGCCUAAUGAGGCCAGGAAAGCAGUGGCAGGGGAAGACGGGUAGCCCAGAGACUACUCUACUCACAAGUCUCUCCCCAAGUGUAGAGUCAUUGACAGGAGGAUGAGGAGAUUGGGUAAAAUUUGUCAGCUCUAUUUUUACCAGUUUGUCCACUACCUUCUGUCUCUGCUGCUGUCACCCGAAUACAAGCCACCAUCCUUUCUUGAUUAGAUGACCUCAGGGACCUCCUCACUACAUCUUCCUGCUUUUACUUAUGUUCCUUCAUUUUCCAAGGUCCAUCCAACAGAUGCCCAGAUCAUCGUUUUAAGACAAAAAUCAGAUCUCCUCAUUCCACAAUUAAGCCUUCCAAUGACUUUCUGUUGUUCUAAGAAAAAACACAAGCUCCUAUCUUACACAGUCUAACCUCUGCCACUCUUCCUGGUGCCAUCCUAGGCCACUGUCCCCACUUCCACCAUGGCAGCCUUACAUGCCUUCUUCCUAUUGCCCCAAAUCUCCCAUAUCUUUCUCAACUCAGGGCCUUGGACUUGCUAUUACUUCUGCCUGGGACUUUCUGACUCCACAUGUUGGCCUGGGUAAGUCCUUCUUGAAAUGCAUAUCCUGGCUCAAACAUCACUUUCUCAGAGAGCCCUUUUCUGAUAGCCCUACCUAUAGCAUUGUGUCUUCCUUGCUGGUCAUUGUACGUAACAUGAUCCUGUUUUCUUCAUGGUACUUACCACUACCUGAAAUCCUUUUGCUCAUUUAUUUGUUUAGUUGUUUAUUUUCUGCUCUCCCAUUCCCUAUUAGAAUGUAAGCUUCUUAAGAGUAGGGGUUUUGUCUUAUUGACUCUAUAAUUGCCUAAUACUGCAUCUAGCACAUACUGGGCACUCGAUAAAUGUUCUUCUGUAAAUGAGUGAAUGAGAGAAGGAACUUGGUCUCUCCAAAAUCUACUUUUUUCCCUCAAUGUAUAGUCAAAUGCACCUUCUCUUCCAAAUCAUUGCCCUGAAAAAUCCCCAAAUCACUAUUUAAUAGCACAUGUGCACAUACAAUGCAUACAUGCACACACGCACACUCAAAAGUGAGGAUAAAACUAACACACCAGAUUUUCUUCCUCAGUUUCUGAUCUCUACUUUACUUUUGGCAAGAAAAAUGACUUGGCUUUAAAAAACAGAAGGUUCCUGCCCUCGAGUUUUGAGAGGGCCUUCGUAGGAUGAGCCAUCCACACACAGGUGGGGCCAUGCUGCAUGCAGGGGAGCUGACUUCAAGAGCCAGCAGGUGGAUUUCAUACUCCCACCAAAGAGAGAGAAACAGCCUAUGCGAGAUCCUCUGCUGGCAGAUGUGAGCCAGUGCCUGAGACAUAGAGCUGGGGAGGGAAUGCUAUUUUUUGAUGCUUAUUUCAAAGGCCUGGGAAUAAUAUUCUGUGAUACAAUGAAAUGAAAAGAUAAACUUGUUUGCUUCAUCUCCUGGCCUCAUUGAUUUUUUACUUCUAAUGGGCAUUGAAAGGGAUUGUGUAGCUAUUGGGAGCCUCAGCUCAGUGAAGGCUUUACAAAAAAGGAAAAAGAAAACUUGUGGGGGAUCAAACAAAAACCAAGCCUUAGUCUGGAAGAAAAAAAAAAGAAUAGAUUACACUAAUUUACUGAACACUGACCUAAACCUCCAAAUUAUUCUUCUCUUGAUCUGAGAUCUAAACUAGAGAUUGUUUGAAAGACAUCUGGCGAAUUAGUCCAAACCUGAAGUGAACCCUGUCUUCUAAAACAAUUGAACCAGAGCCAUACUGGAACAUCAAAUUAUUAAUGUUUUCCAAACUAACCCUCUCUGAGUGUCUGGCUGGUGGUGUAUAAAGCUGCAAUAGCAAUUGCCCUUUAUUCAUCUUUGCUCCCAUCCUGCCUCCUGCUCCUAUCCACCAUUUCUCCCUUCUGUGCGGAUACCAGCCUUCAGUAAUGGGUCCACCCUCCAUGCUGCACUGUGGAAUGUGGACUGUCUGUCCUGCUUCUGUGAUCGUGAGGGAUGCUGCUGUUCUGAACAGCUUGGCCCAGUCACCAGCUUUGAUUUCACGUCAUGGGGAAAAGAGGAGUAUCUUUUCAGUGAAGGCAGACUUACUAGAUAAGUUGGGGGAAAAGGGACUAUAGAAUGGAAUAAAGGAAGAAAACCUGGAAUAAGGAAGAGAGGGAGGAAGACCAGAAAGCAAACGUGGAGCAGAGGUAGUAAAGAUGGAGACUCGGUGGAGGACAAAGGAAAGGAAAGAAAGAGAGUAGGAAUAUUUGGGAUGGCAUGCAUUUCAGGUUUGUUUUUGUCUUUUUCUCAUUCCUUCCAAGGUAGAUGGAAUGAUUUUUGGUCACACGUGCCCCUCUUCAAUCUGUGCCAAGCUCAUUGUGAGUUCUUGUCUGUACAGUAACCCCCCAGGAGGUAAGAAGCAUCAUCUUCAUAGAUUACCAGAGUUGAAUGGCACCUUCCGGAACUUCUAGACCAAUGCCCCUAUUUUAUAGCUGGAGGACCUGAGGCACCGAGUAGUAGGGAAUGCACAAACCCCAGCCCUCAGAUUUUUGGUCUGGUGCUGUGGACCCAGCUGGAAGAUACAUUCUUUACCUUGGCCAUGAUUUUUCAUUAGGUGACAGAGAAGAGAAACCAUGGAAGAAGGAUCAUUGGCUUAUAAGGAAUCAAGUAUUGAUGCCUGAGAGGUCAGGCUACGUAGCAGUUACCUUAACAGAAAAAGGGUAUUUCUUUGAAAGAUGUAAUACUGGUAAUAGAUCUGCUGGAUAAGUAAGGAUUAGUGAUUCUUAUCUAUGAUAGGAUUGUUGGAGGUUCUAUGGAAGCAUUAUGACUACUUUCUAGUAGUUAUGUCAUGACAUAUCUGAGGAAGGAAAUUGAAAGGUCAAACCCCACAUGAGAGCCAUUCCAAGGAAAAAAGCACCAAAACAGGUAAUCAUAAGGCAUGAAUAGAGGCUAACUCCCUAGGAUUUCCACCCUGGUGUUGGAAGAAUGGACGAGAAGAGGAAGUCUUCUUGAAGCAGGGUGAUGGAGACUGCUUCUCAGAGCCUGCAGGCUUCCCAGGGACAACAAGCCUGGUAUAUUUGAAUUUCCACCCCAUAGGAAUUUUAGAAAUUCAGAAGCUGAAGUCAGCUUGGUAUCAGCCUGAGCAGCAUUUUCUUUCCCUCUUCUUUCCCUCUUCCUUACUUCUGUAAGGACACAUUCUUUAUAAGGAGCCUGUGCAUUUAAGAAAAAAGACCCCAGCCUGUUACUUAUAACCCAGCAGACACUGAGGAACUCACCAGGUUUUCCUAGUGGGCAAGGGCACUGCACCCUGCUUACCUGUCGUAAAUAACCCAUUUACCUGGAGCUAAUUAGCUAGACUUCAGUGUGGAGUCCCAAAUUGCUAUGCUAAUGAUGGCAGCCCUCCCCUCCCAAGCAGUGCUGAUUUCCCAGCUCAGCAUGAGGGCCUUCAAUAAUAUCUCUUUCCAAUGAUAUAAUUUGAUUCCUCCAUGGGAGACUGCUCUGGUCCUAGCUCACUUAGCACUAAAUCUCUUGCUAGAUAGUCUCAUUACUUAAUCUUUUCAGGCCCCAGACCAGCCCCGGCCUCUUAUUUAUUUAUCUGGGGCCCUGUUUACUUCCCUCUUGUAAAUUAUUUCUGGCUCCUGGCCGUCUGAUCGCUGCAGUGAUAGACUAAUAGCUCGGAGCUACCGCAUUUGCCUUGUGUGAUGAGGCAAAUAAUAUGCUUAACUUAUGGGAGAGAAGUGCACCCUCCAUUUAUUUCAGUGGGGGAAAAUAUUACUCAGGGGAAAGGGCCAAAUCAUUUACCUAAUGGCUGCUGGUGGAAGUCGGUGUAAUUACUGACAGAAUUAUGUGAAACAAAUUGCCACGUGCAUAAAUCUAAACUUCCAGUUUCUCAAAGGCAGAGAGAAUUUCAGCAGUUGGCAAGGGUUCUGCAUUUCUGAUGGGUGGGUUUCUGAGGGGGUGUUGGCAGAAAGAGGAUCUUGGCCCACUGGUUCGCUUGGCAAGGGGGAUGCUCUUCCUCAGCUCCAAACUCUUUAAACAUCUAAGGCCCGGGUAGGCAAUCUACAACCUUCUCGCCUGUCCAGCCCACUGCCACCUGCUGUAGUAAAUAAAGUUUUAUUGGAACACAGCCACACCCAUUUAUUUACAUAGUGUCUGUGACCCUAUCUGUGCUAUAGUGGCAGAGUUGCAUGGUUGUGGCAGAGACUGUAUGGCCCCCAAAGCCAAAAUUAUUUACAAUAUGGCUCUAUAGAAAGUUUGCUGAGCCUUGCUCUACCAGAAGAACCUUCAAAUAUCUUAUAUGGAGAUGGAGGGAUUAAAUUGGAUGACUCCCCUUAACUUUACUUCAGACAGUUCAGUCUGAAGGAAAUUUGAAGGGAACUAGAACGGUUAUCUUGCUUUGUAGGACUUCUGAAACUAUUCAUUGACCCAUCUCAACAAUUGUGUGGUUUGGUAGGGAUCAUGAGCCCAGUUGACAGAAGAGAAAACGGAGACCCUGAAAAGUGAGGUGUUUUGCCCAAGUCCUUCAGUGAGGAAAUUGCAGAACUGGGAUUCAUGCCUUCACUGUGUGGCUCCAAAUUCCGUGCCCUUUCAGCUAAACCUCACUUCUUCCCAAGGUAAAGAAGGACAGAGGCCUCGGCAGUGGGAGAGGUUGUAUCUAGGCAGAAGGGCUACUGAAAGGGGUCACAUGAGCCACCAAGUCACAAGGAACACCAAAGCUAGAGGAGAAGUGAGGGGGCUCUUGCUUUCUUCAGUCCACCCUUGCAGUGGGGUAGAUGGUGGAGCAGUUGUAAGAGUACCUUAUCAUGAAACACAACAGCCACUUGUCAGGCAGCAAGAGAAAACCCAAAAAGAAGAAAGCCUGGGUGAUAAAAGUUUAUUUCAUGGCCUGUGUUGCCCAUGCAAUGCCGGUUGCUGAAGAAAGAGCCUGGUCCAUAUGGCCUCCUUCUGGGGGAGGUGAAUGCCACCAGCUGUGCUGCAGCCAGGGCUGAAAGCUAGCCUUGGCUCUUGCACCCUUUGGAAGCAGUGCUCUAGGCUUUGGAGCAGCAUGGAGCCAGACUCUGAUGCCCUGAACUUCUGCUGUGAGUGUGAGAAGGGUGGGAUAUCCACAGGCCUGCAGGCAUCAGCAGCGUGCCUGCUACAGGUAUAGACAUCUCUGGUUGAAAACGUGACCUAAAACUCCUGGCAAAGCAGUCUUUGGGCUCUGCACCUAGGAAGACAGGAGGGCACAGUGGAAAUGAUAGUAAAUAACACAACCGUGGAGCAGCAGCUACGAUUUGUUGGGUGCUUACAAAGCACCAGACAUUGUUCUAAACCCUGUAAUCUUCAAGAGCUCACUUAAUCCUCAUAAUCAUCCUGUGAGGUGGGUGUAACUGUUCCAUUUUAUCAGAGAGGAAAUGAAACUCAGAGAUUAUAAAAAAUCUGCUCAAGCUAAUGUAUAAAUGGUGGAGCUGAGAACCGAAUCUGCCUGACACCUUAACCGUUCCACACACCAGGGGUGGGAGGUGCGAAAGCCACACACACAGAGCCAAAUGCCAUAGAGUAGCUCAGCCAUGUGGAUACAUAAUUUUGCUCCUUAGAACCUCAGUGUCCAAUGUUUGAAUGUAUGUAACAGCUAGGGGCGUGGAGACAACCAAAGGUGAUGGUAUAUUUUCAGCCUAAACCUGCUGUCUGACUCAUAAGAGCUAAGCAGGUUCCUCUCCACUUUCUUCCCUCUUCCUGUGCCUGAUAAAACACAAAUCCAAGCUUUUCCAUCACUACCAUCAUUAUCCAUGAUAUUCUGCCGAGCUCCGCGGGGAGUGGGAUACACAGACCCAGCCUCUCUCUUUAAGGCAUUUUCUGCGGAGAUGGACAUAUAUUUACCCAUGUGUAAAUGGAUAUGCAUUUAUGGACUGUGCCAGGGGUGUGGGGGAGAGAACAUUCCACCACAUGUGAAUGAAGCAAAAGUUUUGUGUAUUGCAUGCAUGUCAAGGGAAGUUGUGUUUUAGAGGAAGACGUUUUUACAGUUCAUUCAUCCUUGCUGAGCUGCUGCUCUGGGAGAUAGAAAGCAAAGAGUGAUUUGGAAAUAGGCAGAUGGGACAGAUGAGGCCUUGCUGUUACUUGUCUUUUGAUCAAGCCACAAAGGCUCUCGGUUCAGUCCUCUCUUCUCCUGGAACUGGCAUGGAUUGUGAGUACUUAUGGGUUGCCUUCAGUAGGAUAUCUUGACACACAAGAGAAUUAACAUUGUUUUGUGUUGUACUACAUGCUGGGCAAGUUCUUUCUCUUGAAUUUUCAUUUUUUCCUUCCAUCCCUGUGAGGUGGAACAUUUUAUGUCCAUUUGAUGUGGAGGGAAGAAGUUUAAAGCACUUAUGGUCUUACAGUUAAGGAGAGAUGGAAACAAGAUCAGAACCCAUAUCUUUCCAACCCUGGAGCUCAUUGUACACUACACAUCAGGUCAUGUCUUCACUCUGAGAAGGAGAGGUACUGUCUUUGUGCCCUCUGCCAUUUCUCAUGAUAUCCCAACGGUCUCCAGAGAAUUUCUAGAAAUUAUUACAGGGUCUGUGUAUAGCUUCUUGGGGUGUGACCACUUCCAGCUUACAGAAACUGGGAUUUUUAGGACUGUCUCAAGAUUACCACUGAUAGAAACCUGAAGCAAAGUAGAAUAAGGAAAAACUAAUAAGCAUCAACAAUGACAACACAAAGCCAUGAGAUGGGACUGGUGUUAAAGAUCCCAAGGUUCUAGGCCUAGAGCCCACUGGGUCUUUGUGACUCUCCAGAUGUCAUCUCUGCAGCUCUCUGCCUGGCAGCUCCAUUCAUUCAGGUGCUCCCCUGUGAUAGAACCCUAGCAGACUGGCACUAUAUCCUUACAGCUUUGGUCUCUGGACCAGUCACCCUGGCCAGAGCCUGAGCCUAUAAUCAGCCCAGUCUGGGUCACAUGCCCACCUUCUGUUGCUGGAAGGAAGUUGGAUUGAUUCUAGGCAGACAGAGCUGAGAACAAACAUGCCUCAACCAGGUGGGGUUCUGACUAUGAUUCCAAGGGUGAUAGUCACCUUAUAUGCAGAACAUUAGGCCUGUUCAAGUCAGCAGCCAUGUCGAGAGAGCCUUGUUAUUUCAUUCCUCGUCUUCCCUAAAAUAGGGAAGGCACAUCUGCAGCUCUUGCCAGGACUCACACAAAGGGAGCUAAAGAAGCACACUUAAUAGGAUUGGGAAGACAUCAAGGCUGCUGGAGGAGCAGUGAACAUUUGAAUUCCUAAGGCUGGGGAAAUCAUGGGAAGAAGGGAGGCAACUUGGGAAGGCCAUGCCCUUGUUUCCAGAGCUAAGAGACAGCAUUCUUGGAGCUUGGCAGGACUUUAGGAGAACAGAGGAGACUUGAUGCAAGUCUAGAUCUCUCCUCUGCCUCCCUCUCCCCCUUUCAUUCCUGCCAUGCCCUCGCUCA